rnacentral:rRNA from 1 species
UGCAUAGAAUCUGCCCGAUAGUGGGGAUAACCUGGGGAAACCCAGGCUAAUACCGCAUACGUCCUACGGGAGAAAGGGGGCUUUUGCUCCCGCUAUUGGAUGAGCCUAUGUCGGAUUAGCUAGUUGGUGAGGUAAAGGCUCACCAAGGCUGCGAUCCGUAGCUGGUCUGAGAGGGUGAUCAGCCACAUCGGGACUGAGACACGGCCCCGAACUCCUACAGGAGGCAGCAGUGGGGAAUAUUGGACAAAUUGGGGGCAACCCUGAUCCAGACAUGCCGCGUGUGUGAAGAAGGCCCUCGGGUUGUAAAGCACUUUCAGCGAGGAAGAACGCCUGGUGGUUAAUACCCACCAGGAAAGACAUCACUCGCAGAAGAAGCACCGGCUAACUCCGUGCCAGCAGCCGCGGUAAUACGGAGGGUGCAAGCGUUAAUCGGAAUUACUGGGCGUAAAGCGCGCGUAGGUGGCUUGAUAAGCCGGUUGUGAAAGCCCCGGGCUCAACCUGGGAACGGCAUCCGGAACUGUCAGGCUAGAGUGCAGGAGAGGAAGGUAGAUUCCCGGUGUAGCGGU